ACGGAGGAUGCGAGCGUUAUUCGGAAUUACUGGGCUUAAAGGGCGCGUAGGCGGACUAUCAAGUCAGAGGUGAAAUCCCCGGGCUUAACCGGAGAAGUGCAAUUGAUACUGUUAGACUUGAGUAUGGGUAAGGAAGGGGGAAUGCCCGGUGUAGAGGUGAAAUGCGUAGAGAUCGGGCGGAAUACCAGUGGCGAAGGCAGCUUACUGGGCGGUAACUGACGCUGAGACGCGAAAGCGUGGGGAGCAAACAG
rnacentral:rRNA from 1 species